rnacentral:lncRNA from 1 species
AUGCCCUUUUGGUACCAUUCUUUUUAUUUUCAAAAGUGUUUGGCAAUUGAAUUGAUUUUAAACUAACUUCCUAACAUGUGAGGUGAUCAUACAUGUGCGCAUACCACCAAUUUAACACUCAAGAAAGCAAUUAAAUAUUGCAAAACAUACCUAAGAGCAACGAAAGCAUCUGCAUUGUUAAAUCAGAAUUCACAUCAGCAGCCCUAGAUAUGAUUUCUAAUUAACACACAAUUUCAAUUUUUGUUUUCACUUUAUUUAAUGAAAAUCAUGACUUAUGUAAUGCAUGUUGAUGAUCUAAUAUGACAUGGCAGCAUGACCUAAACUAUAUGACAUGAAGAAAUGCAAUAAUUAAGUGCAAUCUAAAUGACCUAAUUCUGAUGACAUGCAAUGCGAUGCAAUGACAUGCAAAAUUAUUUAAACUAAAAUGACAUGCAGCAUAUAAUUUAG